CCAAAACCAAAAAAAAAGAGAGAAAAAAUGAAAAA
rnacentral:sRNA from 1 species